AGAACGAACGCUGGCGGCAUGCCUAAUACAUGCAAGUCGAACGAAGGCUUCGGCCUUAGUGGCGCACGGGUGCGUAACGCGUGGGAAUCUGCCCCUUGGUUCGGAAUAACAGUUGGAAACGACUGCUAAUACCGGAUGAUGACGAAAGUCCAAAGAUUUAUCGCCAAGGGAUGAGCCCGCGUAGGAUUAGCUAGUUGGUGAGGUAAAGGCUCACCAAGGCGACGAUCCUUAGCUGGUCUGAGAGGAUGAUCAGCCACACUGGGACUGAGACACGGCCCAGACUCCUACGGGAGCAGCAGUAGGGAAUAUGGACAAUGGGCAAAGCCUGAUCCAGCAAUGCCGCGUGAGUGAUGAAGGCCUUAGGUGUAAAGCUCUUUUACCCGAGAUGAUAAUGACAGUAUCGGAGAAUAAGCCCCGGAUAAACUCCGACGCCAGUACGCCGC
rnacentral:rRNA from 1 species